AUGGACUUUAAACGUGUAAAGAAUUGUUUUAGAGGGACUAAAGUUGACAAACAAAGAAAGUAUGUGUGUAAAAGGAUUCAAAGUGUCAACAUUGGAUAAUUAUACCUUUCAACGACCCUACACGAUGUUUAUACCCUUAAACGAAUGAAUUAUGAACCAUAUGAUGCCGUUUGUGGAAGAAAGUGAAAGUUUACAAACCGCAAGGGUUAAAUGUGUCAACAUGUUUAAUUUAUACCUCUGAGUGACCUUUAGCAAACUAGAAGCUUUGUAACGAUUAAUUAUGCUCACUAGAAUAAGUGAUAAAAAAUUUCACAAAAUUUCGAUAUCGUAUGAGAAAGUUAUGCUAACAUUCGUAAGUGAGGGAUUAAAAGCGUCAACGUUGAAAUUCAGGACUUUUUGGUGAUCAUAUAACUAAUCGGGGACUUAACGAAGUUGGUUUAUGACUUGGAGUCCUUAA
rnacentral:lncRNA from 1 species